rnacentral:rRNA from 1 species
GACAGAGGUGCCGAGCGUUAGGCGGAAUCACUGGGCUUAAAGCGUGUGUAGGCGGGCCGUUAAGUAUCUUGUGAAAUCCCCCGGCUCAACCGGGGAAUGGCUGGAUAUACUGGCGGUCUUGAGCGAUCUAGGGGCAGAUGGAACAAGUGGUGGAGCGGUGAAAUGCGUAGAUAUCACUUGGAACGCCAAAGGUGAAAACAGUCUGCUGGGGAUCUGCUGACGCUGAGACACGAAGCCAGGGGAGCGAACGGG